rnacentral:lncRNA from 1 species
CCAAAUCUUAGGGUUAUCAUGACGUUGAGUAUGUAUUGGUAAAUAUCCCCAAAAUCGGGUAUGAACUCGUAAGUAACCCUAUAGUUUGGGGGGUUUUUAUAUAGUUUGUCCUAUAAAUUGUUUACAUUUUUUAGUAUAUAUCAUUUUUAUUCAAUAACAUGUGAGAAUUAUGUGUAUAAUACGUGAAUUUUGUGCGUCUUAUUGAAAUUUUUGUAAAAAAUAUGUGUAUUAAACAUGGAAAAAAUAC